ACACAUGCAAGUCGAACGAGAGAGAAGGAGCUUGCUUCUUCGAUCGAGUGGCGAACGGGUGAGUAACGCGUGAGGAACCUGCCUCAAAGAGGGGGACAACAGUUGGAAACGACUGCUAAUACCGCAUAAGCCCACGGGUCGGCAUCGACCUGAGGGAAAAGGAGCAAUCCGCUUUGAGAUGGCCUCGCGUCCGAUUAGCUAGUUGGUGAGGUAACGGCCCACCAAGGCGACGAUCGGUAGCCGGACUGAGAGGUUGAACGGCCACAUUGGGACUGAGACACGGCCCAGACUCCUACGGGAGGCAGCAGUGGGGAAUAUUGCACAAUGGGGGAAACCCUGAUGCAGCGACGCCGCGUGGAGGAAGAAGGUCUUCGGAUUGUAAACUCCUGUUGUUGAGGAAGAUAAUGACGGUACUCAACAAGGAAGUGACGGCUAACUACGUGCCAGCAGCCGCGGUAAAACGUAGGUCACAAGCGUUGUCCGGAAUUACUGGGUGUAAAGGGAGCGCAGGCGGGAAGACAAGUUGGAAGUGAAAUCCAUGGGCUCAACCCAUGAACUGCUUUCAAAACUGUUUUUCUUGAGUAGUGCAGAGGUAGGCGGAAUUCCCGGUGUAGCGGUGGAAUGCGUAGAUAUCGGGAGGAACACCAGUGGCGAAGGCGGCCUACUGGGCACCAACUGACGCUGAGGCUCGAAAGUGUGGGUAGCAAACAGGAUUAGAUACCCUGGUAGUCCACACCGUAAACGAUGAUUACUAGGUGUUGGAGGAUUGACCCCUUCAGUGCCGCAGUUAACACAAUAAGUAAUCCACCUGGGGAGUACGACCGCA
rnacentral:rRNA from 1 species